UACGGAGGGUGUAAGCGUUAUCCGGAUUCACUGGGUUUAAAGGGAGCGCAGGCGGAUUGGUAAGUCAGUGGUGAAAGGCUUAAGCUUAACUUGGGAACUGCCAUUGAUACUAUCAGUCUUGAAUGUUGUUGAGGUUUGCGGAAUGGGUCAUGUAGCGGUGAAAUGCAUAGAUAUGACCCGGAACACCUAUUGCGAAGGCAGCAGGCUAAACAAAUAUUGACGCUGAGGCUCGAAAGCGUGGGGAUCAAACAGG
rnacentral:rRNA from 1 species